rnacentral:rRNA from 1 species
UACGUAGGGAGCAAGCGUUGUCCGGAUUUAUUGGGCGUAAAGAGCUCGUAGGCGGUUUAGAAAGUCAGGUGUGAAACCUCCAGCUCAACCUGGAGACGCCACUUGAUACUUCUAUGACUUGAGUUCGGUAGGGGACCAUGGAAUUCCUGGUGUAGCGGUGAAAUGCGCAGAUAUCAGGAGGAACACCGAUGGCGAAGGCAGUGGUCUGGGCCGAUACUGACGUGAGGAGCGAAAGCGUGGGGAGCGAACAGG